UUGCAAUGGAUCAACAUCAUCACUGGGGGUAUGAUAUAUGGUUCAGGCCGUAUUUGAAACUACUUUACAAGAGGUUCUUGCAAAAGUAGUUUCUUUUGGCAUGUAGGGCUGUAGUGGGGUUUCAGCCUCUUAAUUGAUUUGGUUGCCGCAAGACUGCAAUGAGACAUCUGCAUUUCCUUGAUUCCUUCUUGAGGGACCUACUAUCUCUACUCUCUACAACGUAAAGUAUGUGAGUUGGUGAUUGGGAUGGUAAGUUCUACGCCUGCAUCCUUCCUCCAAUUUUCGCUCACAACUUUGACAUACAUCUCAAAGGAACAUCUUUUACCAGGAAAAAUAGGAUGCAUUUAGGUUCACUAUUAUGAAAAUCAAUUUCAUCGCUGUCAUGGGCAGUUGGGCACUGCUAGUAUUGUAGAAACAGCACAAUAUGUUGAAGAUCAAUCGGAUUGUCAGCACUUGAAGACGAUAGAUAACCACUUCAUCAAAGAAAAAAAAAUAGUACCGUGAUAUUCUGCGGUUAUCACUCAAGAACAAAAGAAAAGAUGGUGGUAAUUAGUUCCACUCAAACGAGGGGAACAACCAACAUAUGCCAUAUCCUUAGAUUAUUAGAGAAAGUUUAGACUUUUUCUUUCUUUAAGGAAGCUUGUGGAUUAGGUAUUGAUCGUCAUCUGUUCAUCAAAUAAUUAUAAAGGAGUGUUACUGUGGUUUUUGGCCCCUCUUCUCUUUCAUAGUCUAGUCUAUCUGCUGUGUUGCUUUCGCUGGAACAAAGCAGAGAGGGGCAUGAGCCUCAGGUGGGAUUUUUGUCCAAUAAAGGUGGCCUGCCAUAGGGUAGGUGGGACAUGUUCUUGGCCCCUCACUUCUAAGGUGUCAAGUCUUCAUCAAGAAACACAAUAC
rnacentral:sRNA from 1 species